UAACAGAUCGAACGUCUAAUCGGAAUUAAAUGCGAGACGACAACUCAUAUUUACUUCGACCCUAUUCAGGAAAACUCGAAACGAAACAUUCAUCAUAUAAAUAACCACGUAAAGCGGUAAGGGGAUUCAAAGCCACCAACGGCCAGUCCCGAUAAGCAAUAAAAACGACCAAAACAGUCCCAUACAAAUCUCUCGGCCACACUCGGCCAUAAACAUAAGACAGAAAGACGAGCAUCUUUCUUUCGAUAACUAC
rnacentral:lncRNA from 1 species